CACCAGCCGGGGGGAGCAGGAGGCAAACUGGGGGUGCUGGGAUAUGGUUGUUCCCAGGGCAGUCACUGACCACAGCUCUGCUGGUGGCUUCAGGAGAAGGAUUAUUCUGGCUGGCUGGAGAGCAGCAGCCUUGUGCAAAGCAGAGCAAAGCUUGGGUGGGUUGUUCUGUGUUGGAUUAAGCCCUUUUCUGGCCCAGAUGUGGGGCAACUGAGAGGCAUUUUAAAAACUUUUAUUCCAUUUUCAGUCUCAUGUGAAAGGUGUCACAAUGCAGAUGUUAUAAUUCACACCAUCACAAUCAGAAGCCAGCUAUUUAUUAAUUACAUUAUAAGUGUUUCUUGGCCUAUCGGUGCUCUGCAGCUGUGCUCAUUUGUGAGUGUAUCCUCGCUGCCAGAAGGUCAGGAAGGUGUUUCUGUAACAACCAGCUAGUCUUGGUUUGAAAAGCAAAACCAGUGAGAGGCUCUAAGUCAGAAGUACAA